rnacentral:rRNA from 1 species
UAAGGGCGCACGGUGGAUGCCUUGGCACUAGAAGCCGAUGAAGGACGUUACUAACGACGAUAUGCUUUGGGGAGCUGUAAGUAAGCUUUGAUCCAGAGAUUUCCGAAUGGGGAAACCCAGCAUGAGUUAUGUCAUGUUAUCGAUAUGUGAAUACAUAGCAUAUCAGAAGGCACACCCGGAGAACUGAAACAUCUUAGUACCCGGAGGAAGAGAAAGAAAAUUCGAUUCCCUUAGUAGCGGCGAGCGAAACGGGAAGAGCCCAAACCAACAAGCUUGCUUGUUGGGGUUGUAGGACACUCUAUACGGAGUUACAAAGGACGACAUUAGACGAAUCAUCUGGAAAGAUGAAUCAAAGAAGGUAAUAAUCCUGUAGUCGAAA